CUGAGACAUGUGAGUGACAGGGAGUCUUGGUUAUGCACAGUUAUAAGACUCACCUAAUACAAGUGUGCUGGCUUUCCCUAAUAAUCCAGCACUCCCAUCCAAGGGCUGGAGGAUUAUAGAGGCGAAGCCACGUGGGUUAGCCUGAGACCCUCUCUAGAUAGACAGACCUCUACAAAUGUUCCUAUGUUGUCCUCUGUCCAGAAAACAGGUCUCAGCCAUGAAAGCUGAAGCAGAACAGGAUGGAGUGAAGGUCCCCACAACCCUGGCAGAAUACUGCAUCAAAACUAAAGUGCCUUCCAAUGACAACAGCUCAGAUUUGCUUUAUGACAACCUGUAUGACGACGACAUUGAUAACGAAGACGAGGAAGAAGAAGAUGCCAACUGUUAUGAUGAUGAUGAUUCUGGAAAUGAGAGUCGUGACAUGUUCCUUCAGUUCCCUGUACUGCCCUGACAUCUCAGGCCAAAGGGAGGGAAGCAAGUGGGGAUCUACAGUGGCCACUCAGCAAAAACUUACUCAUGG
rnacentral:lncRNA from 1 species